ACCCUUGAGUGGUGUUGUUGCUUUUUCUCUUGAGUGCUUUCCAAUGAGGUGGCUCUCUGGUGCUCUUUCAGCUUGAACAGGAUGCUAAUUUGUAAAGUGUCAGUCUACAAAGAAACUCCAUGAGCAGGUGACAUUACCAGGGAGAUGUUAGGCAGCUGUUAGGCAGACUGUUUGUCAUGCUCUUUCUUUCCAUUUCAUUCCAGUCAACACUCAGGCCUUGAAUGCCUAGCCAAGGUUAUACCAAACCCACCAAGCCUGAUUCAUAUUCUGCCUCAGUCUGCCUGAGCCACAAAGAAUGACUCAUUCUAAAGAAUGACAUGGGCAAAAGCCGACCUCAGGUAAUUGUGGCCUAUUAUAGAUAAUAUCAAACCCACCAGGGCCCUGAUCUGGAUUCCGCAUCAAUCUGCCUGAGCCACAAAGAAUGACUCAUCUCAGUGACAUGUCAUGGGCUAAUGAAAGUUCUGAAGUCCAUCAGUGGAAGGUGCUCAAGUUCCAUUGACUGAUACCUAAGCUAUAAAAUUAUGUACAGCUACAAAGCCAAUACAAAAAGUUCAGCACAAACACAAGUGAAUUUCAAAUGAAGUGCUUUGAUUUAAUUAUAUGCAUGACGUUUUGCUGAAACCAAGCACCACCCACAAGUCUUACAUCAAUGCCUUUGGAGUAAGGGCUGUUUUUCUCAUCACUAUUCUACAGACAGAAAAGCUCCUGGAGUUUUAAUGACUCAUCAAGGAUUACACCAUUAGAAGUUCCCAAGUAUUGGAUUACAUUUUAGUGU